AUGUUGCGUUAGGCAUAGUAGUGGAAAUCCUUUUUGAAAGCCCCCAGCCCCCAAAAGGGGUGUUGUAUUGCACGAAUAUAGUUUCUGAAUGUGGUAAUCAAAAAAGAUUACAACGGAUAGCCCAACCCUUG
rnacentral:sRNA from 1 species